AUUAUUUCAAUCUCACAAUCUUCUCUAAACCUAGCAGAGAGUUCUACCCUUUCUUCCUUAAGAAAAUUUGACCAGACAUAGAGAAGUCACCCUAGAAACAAGAUUAAUUUACAAAGAGAAAUAAAGUAAGUGAAAGGAAAGAAAACACACAGAAUUUUAUCGAGGUUCACCCAAGAAUGUGAUACGUCCUCAUUGAGCUGCUCCUUAGAUGGUGAGCUCAGAUUUUCAUUUAUAAGAACACGAUUACACAGAUCAAGUAAGGAUUCCAAGUCACAGAAGUACGAGAAGAACUUGGGGCUUCAACAAGUGCGAUCCUCAAGUAUAUAUAUAUAUAGGGUAGCAAUUCAAAUUAUUUGUAUCUGUGGUAAUUAGUUGAUUCUGUUAGAAGUUUAUUAGGAUCUGAGCUGAAUAAAUUUUCUUGUAACUAAUUCUUGUAAGAGAGCACGUGAGGUUUUGGCCUUCGGGCAAGAGAGUUUAAUUUUUUGUAAUUGUACUAUUGUUAACGGCUUAAGUGGAGAUUUAAACAACAAUUUCCACUUGAAUCUUCACUUGAGCUGUUAUCGACCGUGAAUAAUCCAUCUGAGGGUCUUAGCUCUAUACUGUUAUGUUCA